rnacentral:lncRNA from 1 species
GCACUCCAGCCUGGGCAACAGAGCGACACUCCAUCUCCAAAAGAAAAAAAAAAAGAAAAAGAAAAAAAACCCAUUUCAGGCCUACAUUCAUACACACACACAUAGACACACAGUUUCAUGACUCCAGAUCUUUGCUGAUGCCAGUUGUUUCUUCUUCCUGGAAGCGUCUUCCCUUCUUCCUUUGCCAUUUAAAUUCAGAUUCAUAUUGAUGACCCCCAAGAAUUACUCUUCCUUCUAUACUCUAUUGUCUCCUCCUACCGGGGGGUGGGGAAGCAGGAGGAGAUGUCCACAAAUAGCAGAGGCCUCUUGGCAAAUGGGUCAUAGGUCCACUAUGAACAAGCUCUGCUAGCCUCCUCAUUCUACAGGGGAUGAGUGCUCCCCCAGCCUCCUCCUCCUCAGCUUCUCUCUAGGGAGUACCUAUGACUGAGCGACCUCUGACACUCGGUGCCUCCAGGGUAAGAAAGUUCCCUUCAGAAGAGCAGCUGACACAGCCAUUAUUGAGUAUGUCUCUGCCUCUAUCACCUCACGCCACUUCAUACAGUCUCCUGGGAUGAGCUCAUAAGCCCAGCAAGACCAUGAGCUCAUCUUGAGAUGAGGAUAUAAAUGGACAGAAGACUCCACUCACAGAAGGGCUUUCACAGCUGCUAUUCAGCAUGGUCAGCCAAGAGAAGGCAUGGAGUCUUACUGAGUGUCUAUUACAGACAGCACGCUUCACAGAUAAUGUCUUCUUAAAGCCUAUCAGCUAAAGCCUACUAGCAAUACACACGCAGCCGAAGUUGAGGUUAUUAGCUUGUUGCAGCAAGAGAGCACAUAUACAAGAGGAAUCAUGGAAAGCGAAAAGGUGUCAGAUGUGUACCGUGUUCUGAAGACUCUCCCCACCUUCUCCAGCACCCUCCCCCUUUGUCCUUCACAGGCAUUUCCUCCAAUCAGUCUUUCGUCUUCUGCUUCAUGGAAGACCUGACGGACACAGACAACUCAUCUUUACAUCCUCCAUGCCUGGGACAUUGGCAGGGAUUCUGCAGCAGUGAUGAAGAGCAUGGACACAAAUCAUAACCCGGGACUUGUUCCAUGGGUAGCCUUGAGAGCAGGUGACUUCAACCUCUCUGAAACCGAGUUUGAGGUCCUCAUCUAUUAAGUGGUAUUGAUAUUAAUAGCUAUGUCUUACGGCUGUUUGAGAAUGAAUAAGUUAAUGCAUGAAUACGUUUAGCACAGUGCUUAAAAAUCACAAUAAAUAUCUAAUACAAUAUAACUAGCUGCAUUGGAUGCACUAAGUAUUCUACACAUGUGUUAGUGCUGCAAACUGCCUGGUGCUGGUAGCUGCAAUGGUCACAGGACUGUCAGGCUGUGUCCCCCACCACAACCCCUGACACACACACACUCAAUUCUCUCAAACAUAGGCUGCUGAAGGUGACUUCAGCACCAUAAACUUAGCUGGGCCAUUUCUGGGAGACUGUCUAGGUCUCUGUGAAUUCUGCCUCCUUUUUGAUAUUGCUGAUAUAGUUUGGAUGUGUGUCCCCUCUAAAUCUCAUGUUGAAUUAUCAUCUGCAGUGUUGGAGGUAGGGCUAGUGGGAGGUGAUUUCUCACAAAUGGUUUAGCACCAUCUCCUUGAUGCCAUCCUCAGGAUAGUGAGUGAGUUCUUGUGAGAUCUGGUUGUUUAAAAGUCUGUAGGAUCUUCCCCCUCACUCUCUCUCUCUUGCAUCCCCUCUCGCCAUGUGAUAUGCUGGCUUCCCCUUUGCCUUCCACCAUGGAUAGGAAGCUUCCUGAGGCC